rnacentral:rRNA from 1 species
GAAAUUAAAUUUUUAUUAAUAGUUUUAUUUAAUAAUUAUUUUUAAAUAAAAUAUUAUUAAUUUAUUUAUGUUUAAGUAUAUAAAAGAAAAAAUUAUAAAUAAUUAUAGUUUAUUAGUAAUGAAAAUGAAAUAAUUUAAUUAAUUUAAAGAAUUUUUUAUUUAAAGUACCUUUUGUAUCAGGGUUUAUUUAAUUAAUAGUUAAAAUUUUAAUUAUUCUCGAAUUUAAAAGAUUUAAUUUUUUAUUUUUUAUAUUGUGGAAUAAAUAUUUAUAAUAAAAGGUUGGUAAUGAAAUGUUAUACGUUUUUAAAUAUAUCUAGUUUUUUUAGAAAGAAAUUCAAUUUUGUUAUAAAUUAUUAUUUAAGUUUAAAUUAAAAUUUAAAUAUUUUAUUUAUAAAAAAAUUUUUAGGGAUAAGCUUAAAAAUUAAAUUAUAUUUAUAUUUAAUAAAUAUUAAUUAAUUUUAUGAUUAGAAAUUUCAAUUAUAUUAAUAAUUUUAUAAUUUAUACAUAAAAAUUUUAAUUUUAAAUUAAAUUAAUUUAUUUAUAAAAAUAUUUAAUAAAAUUAUUUAUUGAAUUAAUAAUGGUAAAAUUAGUAUAUUUAUUAUAAUGUAAUUAUAUAAUAAUUUAAAUUAAAAAUAAGGAAUUCGGCAAAAUAAUUGCUCGCCUGUUUAUCAAAAACAUGGUUUUUUGUUUAUAAUUUAAAAUUUAAUCUGCCCACUGAUUAAUUAAAGGGCCGCAGUAUAUUGACUGUGCAAAGGUAGCAUAAUCAUUUGUUUCUUAAUUGUUGACUUGUAUGAAUGAUUGGACGAGGUAAUUACUGUCUCAUUUUUAUUUAAAAUAAAAGUUUAUUUUUAAGUUAAAAAGCUUAAAUGAAUUUUAAGGACGAGAAGACCCUAUAGAGUUUAAUUGAUUUAGUAAAAAUUUUUAUUUAUGAAUAUAAAUUAUUUUUAUAAAAAUUAAUUUAAUUGGGGUGAUUAAAAAAUUUAUUAAACUUUUUAAAAUAUUAAUCAAAAAAUUUUGUUUAUUUUUGAUCCAGAAAUUUUGAUUAUUUGAUUAAAUUACCUUAGGGAUAACAGCGUUAUUAUUUUGGAAAGUUCAUAUUUAUAAAAUAGUUUGCGACCUCGAUGUUGAAUUAAGAAAAAUUUUUGGUGCAGUAAUUAAAAUUUUUAGUCUGUUCGACUAUUAAAUUCUUACAUGAUUUGAGUUCAAACCGGUGUGAGCCAGGUUGGUUUCUAUCCUAAAUUAUAUAAAAUAUUUUAGUACGAAAGGACCAUAUAUUUAAUUAAAAAUUUUAUUUAUGA